UAGGGAAUCUUCGGCAAUGGACGGAAGUCUGACCGAGCAACGCCGCGUGAGUGAAGAAGGUUUUCGGAUCGUAAAGCUCUGUUGUAAGAGAAGAACGAGUGUGAGAGUGGAAAGUUCACACUGUGACGGUAUCUUACCAGAAAGGGACGGCUAACUACGUGCCAGCAGCCGCGGUAAUACGUAGGUCCCGAGCGUUGUCCGGAUUUAUUGGGCGUAAAGCGAGCGCAGGCAGUUAGAUAAGUCUGAAGUUAAAGGCUGUGGCUUAACCAUAGUAGGCUUUGGAAACUGUUUAACUUGAGUGCAAGAGGGGAGAGUGGAAUUCCAUGUGUAGCGGUGAAAUGCGUAGAUAUAUGGAGGAACACCGGUGGCGAAAGCGGCUCUCUGGCUUGUAACUGACGCUGAGGCUCGAAAGCGUGGGGAGCAAACAGGAUUAGAUACCCUGGUAGUCCACGCUGUAAACGAUGAGUGCUAGGUGUUAGACCCUUUCCGGGGUUUAGUGCCGUAGCUAACGCAUUAAGCACUCCGCCCGGGGAGUACGACCGCAAGGUUG
rnacentral:rRNA from 1 species